rnacentral:rRNA from 1 species
AAAUUCUUGAAGUUAUCUUAGCUUUUUUGUUGGGUGAAAUCAGUAUAAAGAGUUUCUCUUUCUUUUAAAAUUAAUAGGAAUUAAAAAACUUUGAUUUAAAACCAGGAUUAGAUACCCUGCUAUUCUAAGUUAUAUUUAGACAGGGUAGUAAAAGUUGUUCUUCAAACCCAAAGAUUUUGGCGGCACUUUAUCCAAAUAGAGGAGCUUGUCCCUUAAUCGAUAGUCCCCGUUCUAUCUUUCCUCUGUUUGUAGAGCUUGUAUACCGCCGUUGUCAGAUUACUUUUAGAGAAUGUUUUCAAGAUAAAAGACUUUUUUACUUCAGGUCAAGGUGCAGUUUAUAUAGAGGUGGAGGUGAGCUACAAUUUUCUUUAGAAAUACGGAUUUCAAGCCUCGAAGCUGGUUGAAGGUGGAUUU